AGAAGAGGACAGUGGAACUCCAUGUGUAGCGGUGAAAUGCGUAGAUAUAUGGAAGAACACCAGUGGCGAAGGCGGCUGUCUGGUCUGUAACUGACGCUGAGGCUCGAAAGUAUGGGUAGCAAACAGGAUUAGAUACCCUGGUAGUCCAUACCGUAAACGAUGAAUGCUAAGUGUUGGAGGGUUUCCCCCUUCAGUGCUGCAGCUAACGCAUUAAGCAUUCCGCCUGGGGAGUACGGCCGCAAGGCUGAAACUCAAAGGAAUUGACGGGGGCCCGCACAAGCGGUGGAGCAUGUGGUUUAAUUCGAAGCUACGCGAAGAACCUUACCAGGUCUUGACAUACUAUGCAAAUCUAAGAGAUUAGACGUUCCCUUCGGGGACAUGGAUACAGGUGGUGCAUGGUUGUCGUCAGCUCGUGUCGUGAGAUGUUGGGUUAAGUCCCGCAACGAGCGCAACCCUUAUUAUCAGUUGCCAGCAUUAAGUUGGGCACUCUGGUGAGACUGCCGGUGACAAACCGGAGGAAGGUGGGGAUGACGUCAAAUCAUCAUGCCCCUUAUGACCUGGGCUACACACGUGCUACAAUGGAUGGUACAACGAGUUGCGAACUCGCGAGAGUAAGCUAAUCUCUUAAAGCCAUUCUCAGUUCGGAUUGUAGGCUGCAACUCGCCUACAUGAAGUCGGAAUCGCUAGUAAUCGCGGAUCAGCAUGCCGCGGUGAAUACGUUCCCGGGCCUUGUACACACCGCCCGUCACACCAUGAGAGUUUGUAACACCCAAAGUCGGUGGGGUAACCUUUAGGAACCAGCCGCCUAAGGUGGGACAGAUGAUUAGGGUGAAGUCGUAACAAGGUAACCA
rnacentral:rRNA from 1 species